rnacentral:lncRNA from 1 species
ACCAAUAAAACCUGUACCUCCUGUGACACAAACUCUUCCUUUUCCUUCUGCCAUUAUCACACUUUUCUUGCAAAAUAUUUUUCACACUUUAUUGUUAUAUUGAUUACUUCUGUAUGAAUGUCGAUGGCCCUAUAAAUGUACUGUCUGCACUUAUUAUUGGCAGGUCAUGUAGGGACGUGAGGUCCAUACAACUUUUGCGCUUUAUUCAAGCAAUGUUUAUU